ACUGAGUUCGCGUGAGGGAUAAAAGUGGAGCUCUUUUUAUAACCACCCUGUCAGGGUUCAAAACCCUGACAGGGUGGUUAUAAAAAAGCGGAAACGGAUAGCCCGACCCAAC
rnacentral:sRNA from 1 species